GAGGAAUCCACGAAGGCCUGAAUUGCAGAUUUUGGAUGAGGCAGUGGGAUUUUGGACCUGAGAUUGAUCACCCAUCAGUAUUUGCGGGAUUUGGAUCUGUCCUCAUCCGAAUUGGAGAUCUUUAGAUUUUGGGGGAACUUGUUGCUGGUUUGGAGGUGCUACCAGCUGUGUUACUUGUGAUCAGAGACCAUCUGGCAGCCAGGAAUUGCAU